UACGAGGGGGGCGAGCGUUGUUCGGAUUAACUGGGCGUAAAGGGUGCGUAGGCGGGGUUUUAAGUCAGGGGGUGAAAUGCCGAGGCGUCAACUUCGGAACUGCCUUUGAUACUGGAACUCUUGAGUCUGGGAGAAGGUGAGUGGAACUGCGAGUGUAGAGGUGAAAUUCGUAGAUAUUCGCAAGAACACCAGUGGCGAAGGCGGCUCACUGGCCCGGAAC
rnacentral:rRNA from 1 species